GCCCGGCUGGCGCAAUUGGUUAGCGCAUGAGACUUCUAGAUCUCUUUCCUUUUCUAUUCAUCUCAAGGCUGUGGGUUCGAGUCCCACGUUGGGUG